rnacentral:rRNA from 1 species
GACGAACGCUGGCGGCGUACUUAACACAUGCAAGUCGAACGGAAAGGCCUGCUUUCCCUUGUGGAUUGCGGGUACUCGAGUGGCGAACGGGUGAGUAACACGUGAGUGAUCUGCCCCCAACUUGGGUAUAAGCCUGGGAAACUGGGUCUAAUUCCCGAUAGGACUGCAGGGUGGUGCCUGUGGUGGAAAACGAUUUUCUAGUGGUUGGGGAUGAGCUCGCGGCCUAUCAGCUUGUUGGUGGGGUAAUGGCCUACCAAGGCGGCGACGGGUAGCCGGCCUGAGAGGGUGGACGGCCACAUUGGGACUGAGAUACGGCCCAGACUCCUACGGGAGGCAGCAGUGGGGAAUAUUGCACAAUGGGCGGAAGCCUGAUGCAGCGACGCCGCGUGGGGGAUGACGGCCUUCGGGUUGUAAACUCCUUUCGACCGCGAGGAAGCCACCUGGUUGGAAGGGUGGUGACGGUAGUGGUAGAAGAAGCACCGGCUAACUACGUG